rnacentral:piRNA from 1 species
UAUGUUUCCUGUGCCACAGCAGACCC